rnacentral:rRNA from 1 species
CGGUAUGAUUCAUGACUGGGGUGAAGUCGUAACAAGGUAACCGUAGGGGAACCUGCGGUUGGAUCACCUCCUUA